GAUGAACGCUGGCGGCGUGCCUAAUACAUGCAAGUCGAGCGAACAGAUGAGGAGCUUGCUCCUCUGACGUUAGCGGCGGACGGGUGAGUAACACGUGGAUAACCUACCUAUAAGACUGGGAUAACUACGGGAAACCGGAGCUAAUACCGGAUAAUAUAUUGAACCGCAUGGUUCAAUAGUGAAAGACGGUUUUGCUGUCACUUAUAGAUGGAUCCGCGCCGCAUUAGCUAGUUGGUAAGGUAACGGCUUACCAAGGCAACGAUGCGUAGCCGACCUGAGAGGGUGACCGGCCACACUGGAACUGAGACACGGUCCAGACUCCUACGGGAGGCAGCAGUAGGGAAUCUUCCGCAAUGGGCGAAAGCCUGACGGAGCAACGCCGCGUGAGUGAUGAAGGUCUUCGGAUCGUAAAACUCUGUUAUUAGGGAAGAACAAAUGUGUAAGUAACUAUGCACGUCUUGACGGUACCUAAUCAGAAAGCCACGGCUAACUACGUG
rnacentral:rRNA from 1 species